CCUACGGGUGGCAGCAGUGGGGAAUAUUGCGCAAUGGGCGAAAGCCUGACGCAGCGACGCCGCGUGAGGGAUGAAGGUCUUCGGAUCGUAAACCUCUGUCAGCAGGGAAGAACGGUCACUGUUCUAAUCAGCAUUGAAAUGACGGUACCUGACUAAGAAGCACCGGCUAAAUACGUGCCAGCAGCCGCGGUAAUACGUAUGGUGCAAGCGUUAUCCGGAUUUACUGGGUGUAAAGGGAGCGCAGGCGGCUCGUUAAGCCUGGUGUGAAAGCCCGCGGCCCAACCGCGGGACUGCAUUGGAAACUGGCGCGCUGGAGUGCCGGAGGGGUAGGCGGAAUUCCUAGUGUAGCGGUGAAAUGCGUAGAUAUUAGGAGGAACACCAGUGGCGAAGGCGGCCUACUGGACGGUGACUGACGCUGAGGCUCGAAAGCGUGGGGAGCAAACAGGAUUAGAUACCCCUGUAGUC
rnacentral:rRNA from 1 species